GCUCUUCUAGUAUACUAAUUACAAUUGACCUCCAAUCUCUAGAAUCUGGUGCAAGCCCAGAGAAGAGCA
rnacentral:tRNA from 1 species